AUAAAUAAUUUUCAGGAGAAAAUGAAAAAAUGGAGAAAAAUCUAGCGAAAAAACACCUACGGAGAGGGAUUGCACGUGCGGGCACUGCAUGCGAUAGGCACAGGACGUGCGCAUAGUGCACAUAUCCCAUUCGCGCGAGGUGUGGGGCCAGAAUUGCCCACACGUAUUAUCGUGCAAAGGCAUGCCUGUUCGUGUGCGUCACAUUACGCGCAGAUAGGGUUGGUGCUACACACUGUGCGCGCGACAGGGUAGCUCGGCGCCUGUAAGCUAGGCCUGCAACCCGCGCCAGACAGGUGACGCACACUGUCGCCUCGGGUAGUGUGCCACCUCACACCUUGGGUAGUGUGUUGUCGUUUGGGGUGUGCCGGCAUCGGUGGAAGAAGAUUCUCCUCUAUUUUUUUGUGAUGCAUCAAAUCAAACAUCUCUUCCAUUUUCCACACUUUCUCUUUUUACUAGAUUUUACCACUUAGUGUAAAUCCAAU
rnacentral:lncRNA from 1 species